rnacentral:lncRNA from 1 species
GUGGGCGGAGCCUAAGAAGGAAAAACAAAGCCUAACAAACUGGAUGGAUGGUGGAACUGAAGACCAUAGUUUGCGUUUAUCCUGAGGAAAUGAAGUGAUUUAAUGUUUCCGUUUGGUUUCCUAGUCGUUAAGAAGUGAACAUUGUCGUCAUGGGUCAGCUGCUGUCAUCAGAAGAAGAGUUUAUUCAAGUGAAGGAAGCUGUGGGUUCCCUUCUGUUUAAUGCCAUGUCAGAGGGUGGGGCCAUACCUGACGUCACAGUGCUACACCCGUUCCUCCUGACCAAUCUGAAUCAAGGUUUGGCCUCCCAGGACCGCCUCCAGCAGCAGCUGCAGCAGCUGCAGGACCACAUUGGGAACAGGGCGCCCACCUACCUGAGGGAUCUGAUUGGUCGACUGUCUGCUUUCACAGAAGAGCCUCGUGUGACAGGGCUGGUGGGGUGUGUGGUUACCAUGGUGAUUGACAUGGCCUACUCAUCAUCCAGGCAGCCUACAGGUGUUAAAUUGAAUGCAACGUCCUGCCAGCAGAGAAUCGUUGAGCUCCAGGAGGUGAUGGAGGAGUAUCUGAAGCGCUGCAGGAUCAACCUGAGUGAUAAAAGGAGGCUGAUGGAGGACACAGUCAGACUGGAGGCCCAGCUCAGCCUGACACUCACACAGCUGAUGUCCUGCCUGCUGAGGGGAGACUGUAGCUCCAGGUCUUUGAGACUUUGGGCGAGUGCAGCAGCGUUUCACACUCGGAUGUUGGAGUACCUGGCUGCACUGGAGGGUAAGCCUGAACCUCUUUCAGCGAGGGCAGCACUGGAACGUUACAAAGAGGACCUAACACAGAUUAUACCUGAAUACAGAUGUUAUAAAACCAACACAGUAGUUGUGGUGAAAUGUCGAGGUGGAUGUCUAUCAACGGAGGUUCCAGAGGAAGGAUCCAUGACUGGACUCACUGUGACGGACCGAGAACUAGUGAAGAGUGUGACCAUCCCUUUGUCCAGCAUGCAGACGGAAAUGGAGAGAAGAAGGAAAGACCUUGUUGGUGAUUCCGCCUCUAUUCUGAACCUGGACCUGAUUAGCUCCGAUCAGUACGCUGAGGCGUACCUGGACCACCUGUUUUCUGAUGAAGGGCCUGUGGCAGCGCUGCAGAAGUGUUUUACACGGGUCGGUGAGAAUCUAAGUACGCGAAGGACUGGAACAGAGACAAGUAAAAAGUUAAGGCAAAGCAGAGGUGAGCGUUUUAAAGAGCGAGUGAAUGAAGGAGCAGGAGAAACUGAAAGGAGGGAACGACGACGAGAAGAGUUGGAGAAACUGAGCAUCGUAGAAACACAGCCUGAAGAAAGCCUUACUCACAUUCACCAUUCUGUGAAAAGUGCGUAAACUAAAGCAGCCAAAUAAAAGAAACUAUGAAAACCA